CAAAAACCUCCACCCCCGUCCAUUUUAUUUCCCCCCAAAAUUUUCCCCAAACCAUUCUCCCUCCCAUUCUCCCUCCAAACCAACCAUUUCUCCCCCCACCGGCACCGUCGUCGGCGCCGUCAUCUCCUCUCCCCACCGUUACUGCCGCCGACGACCCCAAACCCUUUCUCCCGAGAAUCACAUUUCAUUUCCCCCCUUUUUCUCCCCAACCCAUUUUCUUCCCCCACCGGCACCGUGAGUCUUCUCCUCUCCCCACCGUCACUGCCGCCGAUGAGCCCAAAACCACCCCACCGUGCGAUGACCAGCUCUACCACGCCUGGGACCCUCACCGACCCGGCCCAUUGGCACUGCCGUUAAGGUCAACAGCGCAGACUCCGAUAUCGCCUUCAAUUGCGCCAGGCGGCCUCCACCACGCCAAGAAAGCCAAGGCCUCUUGAGACCCUCGGGCUCUUUGAGACUUUUACAAGGAAGCUUCGUUUAUGAGAAAGACCGAGUGAGAAUUAAUGAUGAAAUAUAUGUCCUGGAGUUUUCUAGUGCUUAGCUCUUCUUAUCCUUUCACCUCUUCCAGAAAUCUCCUCUUCAUCAAUGUCUCUCUCAGGUGAAUUACAAGAGGGGAACAUAUCAAAGUAGAGGGUUUGGGUUUAUCACUAUGAGUACUGUAGAAGAAGCUGAGAAGGUUGUGGAGAUGUUCCACCAUUAUGUGAGUUGCUCUUCUUUUGAUGUUGAUAAUUUAGUUUAUUGCAUGAAGUAUGUUAUCUUUGAACAAUCAAAUUCUAAGCAAGAG